CAGUAUCAGAUGCAUCAGCUGCUCCACUGCAGAGGACUGAUGCGGCCUAGUGGUUUUUAAUGACAAACAAUAUUCCCAGAGAGUUUUGAUUAGGUUUGGAUUAUGUCUCAGGCACACAUGUGAGGAAGUUGUUUGUUAUCCUUCUCUUCUGAAGAUAUAAAUAAUGGUGGAGCUCAGUUUACAGCUUUAUGGCUGUAAACUGGUUGUCACACCCUAUCUGAUUAUAUGCAUCUAUGUAUAAAUAUUAGCAUAAGGGUUUUUUCUCAGCAUUUGACAUUGAUUCCUGAUUCUGCAAAUACUGAUGUGCAUACAAAGGUCCUAAUGAAGUCCGAUUUCUCACAUGAAUAAUUUGUGUAGGUGUGGUAAGGCUGAUCAAUAUUGUCGUGUUUCAGAUCUACAUCACCAACUGUACGGUCAUUUUGGCAACUGUCUCAAUUGAACUCUCUAGCGUCUUUACCUGUGAACACACAGUCCCACUGGAAAUAGGUUUCAUGACCUGGUGUUAAAUGAUCCAGAGCUGAGAUGGACCCACAAGAGUGGAGAGAGUGGAAAUGGAAAGGAAUGCUGACCAGAGCAUCCUCAUUUGACCUCACCAGAUGGUCACUUCCUCAGGAACACCCCGAGCUCAGUGGUGGCAGCAGCCAUGCUCGCAUCUCCCUGCAGACUGUUCACAGACAAGAAUGGUCCGGUCUGGACUUUGCAGUAAUCUCUGAUGUACAAACAAUCUAUCUCCAGCGAUGCAGGAAAGGAGCCUCAGCCCAUCAGUGAUGUGUGUUCUUUUGGCAGCAGGGAGAGCAAAGCUUUACGUGGACAGUGGGAGCUCAGGUUCCUGGCUGCUAGAUGUGGAUUUGCCCAGUUUGGUGCAAGGGAAGACCCAGUUCUGCCAUCAGCCCUGUGCAGAAGCAAAGAGCAGACUGGUGCCGGGCCCUUUGCGUGCUAGCACUUUGCUGAGCCAUCAGAGAGGUCAUCCACAUUGAGGAGAGCUGCUGUGGGACAAAGAGAGAUGUAAACCCAAACUACCUCUGUGUCUGUGUGCUCAGAUCCUACAGCUAUGUGAGUGCAGGUGUGAGGUCUGGCCAGAGCAUUUCAGAUAAAACUGCCUUUCCAUUGGGUUCACUGUCUAUUGGGAUCAUCUUUUUCCUUGGGGAUUAGCUCAGUGUCAGCAAGUAGUCGCUGCCUGACUUCACGUGGUGUGCCAGGAAGACAAUACUAGUCAUAAGAUAAUGUGUUCCUGAAUGGGAUUGAAACUAUGAGCAUCCGACUCACAAGAAUGGAAGGGGGAAAAUAAAACAAAAACUGCACACAAAAAACCAACCCACCCUGAAAGUUUUCAGGCCCCUCCAUGCCACAUUUCAAAUUAUAAAAAAAAAAAAAAAAAAAAGCAGCCUUUAUUCCUUUAUUCAUGAGACAAUAACUACGAUGAAUUAAGCACAAGCUGUUUUGUCAAAAAGCAAGAGCCUCCCAUGCCCAAGGAAGGACAGAAGCGCAGGGUUGCGACACUGCGCUGAAUUCAACAGCCUGUUCAGUUUCUGCACUAGUUGUGAAAUCACCUCUUUGUGUUCAGUGAGGCACUUUCUGGUGGCCGUUGCAGCACAGCUGUGCGACCUGAUGGGGAGUGAUGGCCAUGGGGUCCUGGGCACAGCCCUUACCCAGGCAGCAGCAAGGAGCAGAGCUGUGUUCCCUUGCUGUGUUUGCACACCAGUUGAUGUGUAUCCAAGGACGUGGAGCCUGUUUCUGGAUUUACACGCAGUCCCGUGCUCGUGCAUCAUCUCAGCCUGCCUGCAGGUUUUCCAUGAUGCAUUGUUAUUUUGGCAGUUUUGUUUGAUCCCUCAUCUGGAGCACUAGAUUUACAGAAAUGAAGGGGAAGCGGCCCCUAUCUGCGGUGCUGUGUCCAUUAGAGGUAUUUACAUUUAUAAACUGAGAAAACCAUUGCUAUUUUAAGCAGCAGCUGCUGGAAGUCUG